GGACGAACGCUGGCGGCGUGCUUAACACAUGCAAGUCGAGCGGUAAGGCCCUUUCGGGGUACGACGAGCGGCGAACGGGUGAGUAACACGUGGGUGACCUGCCCUUAGCUCUGGGAUAAGCCUGGGAAACUGGGUCGUAAUACCGGAUAUGACUCCAUGACGCAUGUUGUGGGGUGGAAAGCCCUGUGCGGCUAGGGGAUGGGCCUGCGGCCUAUCAGCUUGUUGGUGGGGUGAGUGGCCUACCAAGGCGACGACGGGUAGCCGGCCUGAGAGGGCGACCGGCCACACUGGGACUGGAGACACGGGCCCAGACUCCUACGGGAGGCAGGCAGUGGGGAAUCGUUGCGCAAUGGGCGAAAGCC
rnacentral:rRNA from 1 species